AAUAAAAGAAAUUCUGGAGAUGGACGAUGAAUUUUAAAUUUUGGUGUGGAUUGGAAAUGGUAAUUAAAUACAGGCUCCAGCAACCUCCUCAACAAUUUGCCUCCUGUGAGAAUCUUCUGACUGCAUAACUUAGUGGUACGAGAAGGAACCAGAGUCAUAGGAGAGCACAUGUUAAGGAUUGGAGAACUAGAGUGCAGAGAAAUUAGCUUUUCUGCAAACAUAGACAACAGGGAGGAAACCAAGCUUUGCUUUUGUGUGGAUAUGAAGCUGCUAAUUGGUUGAGAACCUCCAAUGGCAAUAGGGAAAUGAUCGGGUUGUGGAGUCGGAGCAUAGAGCAGUUGUGGGGCUGCAGACUUCGACUUCGAAUCCAUUUCAUAACGGGGAAUUCACUGAUCCAGAGUUUGAGGAUGACCAUUCCAUUCAACCAGCAAAUGGCGCAUCCACAGAGGCUGCAUCGAAAGAGAAGACGAUGGAGACUGGCGACUCCUCCAAAGUUUCUUUUUCACUUGGACAUUUUGUCAAACAUGUGGUAGGCCUGAUUUUAGCUCACAUGUCUCUUGAACUUUGGCCGAAUGUAAAUCCCAAAAUUUUUUUGCCAACAAUCAAAGGAUGAAAAGAAAAAACAAUGGAUGA